rnacentral:rRNA from 1 species
GACGAACGCUGGCGGCGUGCUUAACACAUGCAAGUCGAACGGUGAAGCGGGUGCCUGCACUCGUGGAUCAGUGGCGAACGGGUGAGUAACACGUGAGUAACCUGCCCAUCACUCUGGGAUAAGCACUGGAAACGGUGUCUAAUACUGGAUACGACCAACCCUUGCAUGGGGUGUUGGUGGAAAGAUUUAUCGGUGAUGGAUGGACUCGCGGCCUAUCAGCUUGUUGGCGGGGUAAUGGCCCACCAAGGCGACGACGGGUAGCCGGCCUGAGAGGGUGACCGGCCACACUGGGACUGAGACACGGCCCAGACUCCUACGGGAGGCAGCAGUGGGGAAUAUUGCACAAUGGGCGAAAGCCUGAUGCAGCGACGCCGCGUGAGGGAUGACGGCCUUCGGGUUGUAAACCUCUUUCAGCAGGGAAGAAGCGAAAGUGACGGUACCUGCAGAAGAAGCACCGGCUAACUACGUG